rnacentral:lncRNA from 1 species
UUUCUGGAGUUGGAAAAUUUCCUCCACGAAUUGAACAACAUUCUUUCAUUCUUAUCAUUUCAGUACCUUCUCCAACGCAGGCUGCAGAAACCAAGCCUACCAUACCAUAUGAAACAAAUAAAACUUGCUCACCAUCAUACUCUUGCUCAACAGGUAACUUUGUUUUCUUUCCUGAAAGCCUGGGAGCUUUCAAAUUUUGAUAAAUGUUAGCACACUGUUAAGAGCACAUAUUCUGUAAUAACACAGGUCUGACUUGAGUACCUACAAAGGCUACUCCAAUUAGCUAUACGACUUAAACAAAUGUCUUACCCUCUUUGAAUCUGUGUUUAUCUUUUGUAAAAUGGAUGGAAUUUUACUGAUGUAGAAUUCUUUCAAGGAUUAAAUUAGCUAAAGAUUGGAACAUAGUUAAAUGGUAGUGAUACAUAGAGUGGCACCUAUGACUGUCACUUAGCAUGUCCAGAAAUAUGCACACCUGAGCCACAUAGCUAGCUUGUAAGAUUUGGGAACAUCCACAUGUGUAUCUGCAUUUCUCUAAAUUAAAUGAACCAGCCUUUUCUUUAAACUUAUUAGUAGGUUUAAUCCCCUGGACAGAGCCUUAAAAAGCUUAAAUCCAAAUUAACCUGGCCCAGACCAGACUAGUCACUUGUUUAUGUUUCUCCUAAACUCCAGAAACUACAUAGAAAGAACCACAAGGCCCUCCCGCUGCCUUGUUAAGCUUUCAUUUCACAUGGAUACUUUGAGAUGGGUUGAGAACAUGGACAGGAGAACCAAAGAGUCAUGCCCUCCUAGGAUUGGGCUAUUCCACCAGAAAAGUCUCCCUGCUCUCCCCAAUUUUGGAAAAUCCAUAUUCUUUCCAGAGAUGGAAUGACACUGUGACAGAGUCUCCAGAUCCCCUUUGGCGUAGCUAUCAAGUUGUAAGCAUACUCCUUCCUACUUCAUUAGCCUGAUUCACUUAUAUGUUUCCUUGGAAAUAAGUUACAUUAGAGAGUAUUAUUAUAAGUCUUGUUCACAGUUGAUUAUUUCUAAUUCAUAAAAUAAAGGAAGAAAAGAAUUUGACUCUUAAAUAGGG